rnacentral:tRNA from 5 species
GGGCCGUUAGCUUAGUUGGUAGAGCGCUUCCAUGGCAUGGAAGAGAUCGGGAGUUCGAAUCUCCCACGGUCCACCA